rnacentral:tRNA from 1 species
GGUCUAGUAGUGUAGCGGUUAUCACCCGGGAUUCUGAUUCCCGUAACCCAGGUUCGAUUCCUGGCUUGACCU